rnacentral:rRNA from 1 species
AGAGUUUGAUCAUGGCUCAGGAUUAACGCUGGCGGUAUGCCUAACACAUGCAAGUCGAACGGAAUACUAAUUAAGAGAAUCUCACACUAGUGAGAGGUUCUAACGAGUAGUAUUUAGUGGCGGACGGGUGAGUAACACGUUGGAACCUGCCCCGAAGUGGGGAAUAACUGCUCGAAAGAGUAGCUAAUACCCCAUAGUAUCCGGUUUAUCCGGAUUAAAGAUUUAUCGCUUCGGGAGGGGCCUGCGUCUGAUUAGCUAGUUGGUGAGGUAAAAGCUCACCAAGGCGACGAUCAGUAGCUGGUUCGAGAGGAUGACCAGCCACACUGGGACUGAGAUACGGCCCAGACUCCUACGGGAGGCAGCAGUGAGGAAUCUUCCACAAUGGGCGCAAGCCUGAUGGAGCAAUACCGCGUGCAGGAAGACGCUUUUCGGAGUGUAAACUGCUUUUGUCGUCGAAGAUUAUGACUGUAGACGAAGAAUAAGGACCGGCUAACUACGUG